rnacentral:rRNA from 1 species
ACGGAGGAUCCGGGCGUUAUCCGGAAUUACUGGGUUUAAAGGGUGCGUAGGCGGGGCUUUAAGCCGGCGGUGAAAUGCCGGGGCUCAACCGCUGGAAUGCCUUUGGGACUGGGGGACUUGGAUACGGGCGGGGAGGGUGGAAUUCGCGGUGUAGCGGUGAAAUGCAUAGAUAUCACGAGGAACGCCGGUGGCGAAGGCGGCUCGCCGGGCCGGUAUUGACGCUGAGGCACGAAAGCGUGGGGAUCGAACAG